rnacentral:tRNA from 1 species
AGCCCCGUGGUGUAGCGGUCGAUCAUACCGGCCUUUGGAGCCGGCGACGGGGGUUCGAAUCCCCCCGGGGCUA